rnacentral:tRNA from 1 species
GGGUCGGUGGCGUAGUUGGUUAUCGCAUCUGUCUAACACAGCAUGUGGCUCACAGAAGGUCCUCAGUUCGAACCUGGGCCGACUCA